GCCUUGAAGAUCGGGGUGCUUGCACUCUGUGAAACAAGAUACAGGCUAGCGGCGGACGGGUGAGUAACACGUGGGUAACCUGCCUAAGAGAUCGGGAUAACACCUGGAAACAGAUGCUAAUACCGGAUAACAACAGAUGAUGCCUAUCAACUGUUUAAAAGAUGGUUCUGCUAUCACUCUUGGAUGGACCUGCGGUGCAUUAGCUAGUUGGUAGGGUAACGGCCUACCAAGGCGAUGAUGCAUAGCCGAGUUGAGAGACUGAUCGGCCACAUUGGGACUGAGACACGGCCCAAACUCCUACGGGAGGCAGCAGUAGGGAAUCUUCCACAAUGGACGCAAGUCUGAUGGAGCAACGCCGCGUGAGUGAAGAAGGGUUUCGGCUCGUAAAGCUCUGUUGUUGGUGAAGAAGGACAGGGGUAGUAACUGACCUUUGUUUGACGGUAAUCAAUUAGAAAGUCACGGCUAACUACGUGCCAGCAGCCGCGGUAAUACGUAGGUGGCAAGCGUUGUCCGGAUUUAUUGGGCGUAAAGCGAGUGCAGGCGGCUCGAUAAGUCUGAUGUGAAAGCCUUCGGCUCAACCGGAGAAUUGCAUCAGAAACUGUCGAGCUUGAGUACAGAAGAGGAGAGUGGAACUCCAUGUGUAGCGGUGAAAUGCGUAGAUAUAUGGAAGAACACCGGUGGCGAAGGCGGCUCUCUGGUCUGUUACUGACGCUGAGGCUCGAAAGCAUGGGUAGCGAACAGGAUUAGAUACCCUGGUAGUCCAUGCCGUANACGAUGAGUGCUAAGUGUUGGGAGGUUUCCGCCUCUCAGUGCUGCAGCUAACGCAUUAAGCACUCCGCCUGGGGAGUACG
rnacentral:rRNA from 1 species